CAGCACCUGGUUCUGUUGGAUCCAUGUGACUGGCUGUUUAUCUCUCAAUGCUCAGGUGAGUCGCUCUUCUUCUGCUUCGACCUGCUGACGGGGAAACAGCUCCCUCUGCUGGUCACUCCUCUUCCUCACACCUUCACCUGCUCCUCUCUCCAUGAGGACCAUCAGGUGUGCUCACUCAUCCAUCUGACAGCUUGAAGCAGGCCUGGCCGACACAGCAGAGCGUCCUGCAGCUCCUCCUCUGAUGAUGUGGAGACGGUUCCUCUUCCUGGAGUCUAAGAAGAAGUGUGUGUUCCUCCUGAGCUCUGCCACCAUGAAGAAGAUCACGACCAGAGCGUCUGAGGAGGAUGACAACAUAGACGUUGUGUACAUGUGCUGCAUGUGUUUUCUCUUUGAUUAAUGACAAGCAGUGGUCGUUGAUGCAUUCCUGGACAAGUUCAGCCCUUCUGUGCAGGAGUUUAAAUGCUGUGUGAGAAAAUAAAGCAGCUCCUAAUCUUUGUCAGUGAUACUUUUCAAGCACACCGAUACAACAAGGGUGUCUGUUUCCCUCUAGUGGUCAUUGUCAGUCACUACAGCUCCUCACAGAUGAACUCAGGCAGCAGCUCCGGUUGCUGGUGGCGUCAUUUAGAGCAGCUUACUCACUAGUUGAUGGGGAGCGGCUAGUCAUCUUCAGACAGCUACCUCAGGGCACUCUGUGUGGUUUUGUGGGGUUUCCUGCUGCAGGUGGCUUCACAGACUCACUGGUUUGGUUCUUAAUACACCCACUGCAGAACCACAUGAACACUAGGGGUGAGUUUCUAGUAAGAUUUGGUCAGUCAGGGGGAAAUUCUCUGAAGGACAUCACUUUUCAACGUACCGAUUUACGUAACUGAUUUGGGGAAAACUGCAUUUUCCUACUGUGCCCCAUGGGCUGGAAUAAUCUGCAGAAAGAUCUUGGAUUAGAAACACUCAUAUAUUAAUAAAUUUAAGGGCAUCAUGUGAUUGUUUUUCUUGAGAGGUCCACUAUGUUUUAAUAGUUGUUUUAUUUGUAUUUGUUGCAUCUCAUAUGAUAUGUAUGUAAAAGAGAUUUUGAAUCUCAAUGGGACUUCCUGGUUAAAUAAAUGUUAAAUAAAAUGUGUGUGUUCAUUCAUUAA